UACGUAGGGGGCAAGCGUUGUCCGGAUUUAUUGGGCGUAAAGAGCGUGUAGGCGGCCAAGCAGGUCAGCUGUGAAAACUCGAGGCUCAACCUCGAGACGUCGGUUGAAACCGCUUGGCUAGAGUACGGAAGAGGCGAGUGGAAUUCCUGGUGUAGCGGUGGAAUGCGCAGAUAUCAGGAGGAACACCAAUAGCGAAGGCAGCUCGCUGGGACGUUACUGACGCUGAGGCGCGAAAGCGUGGGGAGCGAACAGG
rnacentral:rRNA from 1 species